rnacentral:lncRNA from 1 species
GAAAGGAGCCUAUUCCAAGAAGAUUCCAGACCUGACAUGCUGGAACACGAGGACACUCAGGCAGGGGCCGUGCAGGGAUCAGGAGCGCCCGGCUGCGAUAGGUGCGGCGAUGCCGCGCGCGCUGUGACAGCGAGGGAUGCACACGGACGCACGUGGAGAAGAGGUAGUAGCGAGGCUGAGCUGAGCGCGGGGAGGGAUCCCGUAGGC